GACGAACGCUGGUGGCGUGCUUAACACAUGCCAGUCGAACGGAAAGGCCCCUUUGGGGGUACUCGAGUGGCGCACGGGUGAGUAACACGUGAGUAACCUGCCCUUGACUUCGGGAUAACUUCAGGAAACUGGGGCUAAUACCGGAUAGGAAUCCUUGCUGCAUGGUGGGGGUUGGAAAGCUUCGGCGGUUUUGGAUGGACUCGCGGCUUAUCAGCUUGUUGGUGGGGUAGUGGCUUACCAAGGCUUUGACGGGUAGCCGGCCUGAGAGGGCGACCGGCCACAUUGGGACUGAGAUACGGCCCAGACUCCUACGGGAGGCAGCAGUGGGGAAUAUUGCACAAUGGGCGGAAGCCUGAUGCAGCAACGCCGCGGGCGGGAUGACGGCCUUCGGGUUGUAAACCGCUUUCAGCAGGGGCGAAGCUUGUGGUGACGGUACCUGCAGAAGAAGCACCGGCUAACUACGUG
rnacentral:rRNA from 1 species